rnacentral:lncRNA from 1 species
UGGCCAUCUUGAGUGACCAAGGCUGCAAUUAAUCUCUCAUGUUGCAUUGCCCGUCCUCUUCACUUUAUUCGCUGAUUUGCAAGUCUUUUCCAGUUCAAAUGACACAGACCAGAGAACCAACCCUAUGACAUAUUUUCCCUCAUUGGUCACUAGCAGGAUUCACCAUCCAAUGUUGCCCAUAUACACUUUUCCGAGAUUUUUAGGGAUUUUAUACAUGUUUUUGGAUUUCUUGAACUUUCACAUGAUUUUCUUUUUCACAUUUCAUUUCAUUUUGUCUUGAAUAUUUUUUUUGUUAUAUAAGUUGUCAUGUGUGCAAAAAUGUCAUUGGCAUAGGCGUGUCUCCGUAUGUUCCUCGACGAGGAAGACUUUUUUUCUCAACUUCUGGCAGCCCGGUGCGGUAGCCAACACGACCUCCAUGAGCAGCGUCGACUCGUCGUUGUUUCCACCAUGCUAGACAUGCAAGCCUCGUCAUGCUCAUUCUUGUGGUUCUCCUUUGUCCACUGGCCAAGCUUUGAUGCAGAAUUGGCAUUCGUCCUUGACGGGCUUGGUGUUGUCACUGUGGCCAGAGACGACUUUGUGGUCGUGGCUGUUGUCGCGAUGUCGGUUGCAGGAGGUGUUGGUGUUGUU